rnacentral:snRNA from 1 species
CCUGCCUCUAGGACUUCUGGCUAAGAUCAAGUACAGUAUUUGUCCUUGUCACUUCAAUAUCUGGUAUGUCCUUUAUCUGAGAAUUGAAUGGAUUUUUACAGCUACACAUU